GUGGUUUUCUGGAGAGUCCAGACUGUAGACUGGAGACUCUGAGAUUGAGUUGGUGCAGUUUGUCAAAGAUCAGCUGUGAUUCUCUGGUCUCAGCUCUGAAGUCCAACCCCUCCCAUCUGAAACAUCUGGACCUGAAUGGAAACUACUUGUUAGAUCCAGGAGUGAAACAUCUGUGUGGUUUUCUGGAGAGUCCAGACUGUAGACUGGAGACUCUGGGAUUGAAUACCUGCAGGUUGUCAGAGAUCAGCUGUGAUUCUCUGGUCUCAGCUCUGAA